rnacentral:rRNA from 1 species
AUACGUAGGGGGCGAGCGUUGUCCGGAAUGAUUGGGCGUAAAGGGCGCGUAGGCGGUUCGGUAAGUCUGGAGUGAAAGUCCUGUUUUUAAGAUGGGAAUUGCUUUGGAUACUGUCGGGCUUGAGUGCAGGAGAGGUAAGUGGAAUUCCCAGUGUAGCGGUGAAAUGCGUAGAGAUUGGGAGGAACACCAGUGGCGAAGGCGACUUACUGGACUGUAACUGACGCUGAGGCGCGAAAGUGUGGGGAGCAAACAGGAUUAGAUACCCUGGUAGUCCACACUGUAAACGAUGAAUGCUAGGUGUAGGGGGUAUCGACCCCUUCUGUGCCGCAGUCAACACAAUAAGCAUUCCGCCUGGGGAGUACGGCCGCAAGGUUGAAACUCAAAUGAAUUGACGGGG